UCGGUAAUUCCAGCUCCAAUAGCGUAUAUUAAAGUUGUUGCGGUUAAAAAGCUCGUAGUUGGAUCUACGACCAUGUCCUGUGGUCAUCCUGCUUGGAUGUACUGCAGCGACUGGUCCUUUUGUCUAGUAUUCGAUUGAUGCUCUUCACUGAGUGUCUCUAGUUGCUGGAACUUUUACCUUGAAAAAAUUGAAGUGCUCAAAGCAGGCUUUCAGCCUGAACAUUGCUGCAUGGGAUAAUAGAAUAGGACUUCGGUUCUAUUUUGUUGGUUUUCGGAAUUCGAAGUAAUGAUUAAUAGGGACAGACGGGGGCAUUCGUAUUGCUACGUUAGAGGUGAAAUUCUUGGAUCGUAGCAAGACAAACUACUGCGAAAGCAUUUGCCAAGAAUGUUUUCAUUAGUCAAGAACGAAAGUUAGAGGUUCGAAGGCGAUCAGAUACCGCCCUAGUUCUAACCGUAAACGAUGUUAACUAGCGAUCCGCAGGAGUUACUUCAACGGCCCUGCGGGAAGCUCCCGGGAAACCUAAGUGUUCGAAUUCCGGGGGAAGUAUGGUUGCAAAGCUGAAACUUAAAGGAAUUGACGGAAGGGCACCACCAUGGAGUGGAGCUUGCGGCUUAAUUUGACUCAACGCGGGGAAACUCACUUGGUCAGGACACUGUAAGGAUUGACAGACUGAUAGCUCUUUCUUGAUUCGGUGGAUGGUGGUGCAUGGCCGUUCUUAGUUGGUGGAGUGAUUUGUCUGGUUAAUUCCGAUAACGAACGAGACUCUAUCUUGCUAAAUAGUCGCAGCUUUUUCUGACUGCUGAGCUUCUUAGAAAGGACAGGGGCUUUUAGCCCCAUGAAAUUGAGCAAUAACAGGUCUGUGAUGCCCUUAGAUGUCCAGGGCUGCACGCGUGCUACACUGAAGUCGUCACAUGUGAACCUAACUCGGAGGAGCUUGGAACCCUCUGAACGCUUCGUGCUAGGGAUUGGGGCUUGUAUUAUUUCCCAUGAACGAGGAAAUUCCUAGUA
rnacentral:rRNA from 1 species